rnacentral:rRNA from 1 species
UUAGCGGCGGACGGGUGAGUAACACGUGGAUAACCUACCUAUAAGACUGGGAUAACUUCGGGAAACCGGAGCUAAUACCGGAUAAUAUUUUGAACCGCAUGGUUCAAAAGUGAAAGACGGUCUUGCUGUCACUUAUAGAUGGAUCCGCGCUGCAUUAGCUAGUUGGUAAGGUAACGGCUUACCAAGGCAACGAUGCAUAGCCGACCUGAGAGGGUGAUCGGCCACACUGGAACUGAGACACGGUCCAGACUCCUACGGGAGGCAGCAGUAGGGAAUCUUCCGCAAUGGGCGAAAGCCUGACGGAGCAACGCCGCGUGAGUGAUGAAGGUCUUCGGAUCGUAAAACUCUGUUAUUAGGGAAGAACAUAUGUGUAAGUAACUGUGCACAUCUUGACGGUACCUAAUCAGAAAGCCACGGCUAACUACGUGCCAGCAGCCGCGGUAAUACGUAGGUGGCAAGCGUUAUCCGGAAUUAUUGGGCGUAAAGCGCGCGUAGGCGGUUUUUUAAGUCUGAUGUGAAAGCCCACGGCUCAACCGUGGAGGGUCAUUGGAAACUGGAAAACUUGAGUGCAGAAGAGGAAAGUGGAAUUCCAUGUGUAGCGGUGAAAUGCGCAGAGAUAUGGAGGAACACCAGUGGCGAAGGCGACUUUCUGGUCUGUAACUGACGCUGAUGUGCGAAAGCGUGGGGAUCAAACAGGAUUAGAUACCCUGGUAGUCCACGCCGUAAACGAUGAGUGCUAAGUGUUAGGGGGUUUCCGCCCCUUAGUGCUGCAGCUAACGCAUUAAGCACUCCGCCUGGGGAGUACGACCGCAAGGUUGAAACUCAAAGGAAUUGACGGGGACCCGCACAAGCGGUGGAGCAUGUGGUUUAAUUCGAAGCAACGCGAAGAACCUUACCAAAUCUUGACAUCCUUUGACAACUCUAGAGAUAGAGCUUUCCCCUUCGGGGGACAAAGUGACAGGUGGUGCAUGGUUGUCGUCAGCUCGUGUCGUGAGAUGUUGGGUUAAGUCCCGCAACGAGCGCAACCCUUAAGCUUAGUUGCCAUCAUUAAGUUGGGCACUCUAAGUUGACUGCCGGUGACAAACCGGAGGAAGGUGGGGAUGACGUCAAAUCAUCAUGCCCCUUAUGAUUUGGGCUACACACGUGCUACAAUGGACA